rnacentral:rRNA from 1 species
AACGAACGCUGGCGGCAUGCCUAACACAUGCAAGUCGAACGGGAACUUCGUGCCUAGUGGCGCAGGGGGGCGGGAGGCGGGGGAAGUUGCCCGUAGGUUCCGAAUAACUGACCGUAGGAUGUGUUAAGACCGGUUAAUGUAAUCGGACCAAAGAUCUUUCGCUUUUGGCUGGGGGCUGGUUGGCUUAGCUGGUUGGUAGGGUAAAAGCAUACCAAGGGGACGUUGCAUAGCUGGUCGGAGAGGAUGCUCAGCCACACUGGGACUGCGACACGGCCCACAAGCGUACGCGGAGCAGCAGUAGAGAAUAUUGGACGAUGAGCGCAAGCCUGAUCCAGCAACGCCCCGUAAGUGAUGAAGGCGUUAGGGUUGUAAAGCUCUUUUACCCGAGAUGAUAAUGACAGUACCGGGUGAAUAAGCUCCGGCUAACUACGUG